CAAAUAUGAGAACUUACGUCAAGUUAAACUCGUAAAACAUUUUAGUAUUGGCGGAAAAUUAAGUUGUAAACAAGUUUUGAGAUUGAGGUUAAGCAUGUUCGUAAUGUGGGUAAAGUAGAAAACUAAAUCAACUCGAAUUUGAAAUCAACAUUUCAUCCGACUCAAAAUCAGACAAAUCAAUUAUGUAUUACAAACAGCGAAAUAUGAAUUAGUAGGAUUAAGUUUCCCCUUGAAAGUAAAAAUUAACACAUUAAGUUAACGUACAAAAUAUGAAUGUUGAUUUCAAAUUCGAAUUGAUUUAGUUUUCUACUUUACCAACCUUACAAACACGCUUAACCUCAAUCUCAAAACUUGUUUAUGACUUGUUUACAACAAAUUUUCGUUAAGAUUUAAUAUCAUUCUCAAUGUAUGUUUUACGAGUUUAACUUGACGGUUCUAUCUACUCAAGAAGGGCAGGGCCCGAAACCGUUUUAGACGAAAAAUAAAGUUUUAUCACCAAAGUAUUGAUUAUAAGUCAUGAGUCAUGAUUGAUGUACUUUUAAAUUAAGAAAGUCUCCAACAAGGAUAUCUGCAUAAUUGUUUCGAGCUGCUCAACAAAAUCAUAAUUGUCAACACCGAAUCGGAUAAGCACCUCAUAGCCAAUUUUUACAUAAAAAUGUUUGAAGAAGUAUUAAAAAACCAAAACUACGAUUUCGUAACGAAAAUGACAACUUUGUGAUCUAACAGCAUGGAAAAGAACGUCUCCAGAGGUUUUUAGAGCACCUGAACAGUUACCUUUUUUGGAUGUCUUGGUCACUAGGAAGAUACAAUUAGAAACAUUCGGAUUUAGCCGCCUUGAAAGACGCAUGGGUAAACACGAUUUUUUUAGUUCUAGGUCUAGUGUUAAAUGUAGUUGUUAUUCAGCUAGAUUAUUGUACAUUUUUAUUGUACGCUUCUGAAUCCGCACAUAUCUGAGCUUAUGAUGCAAAUGGAUUAAUAUAACAAAUUCUUAAUAAUUAU